rnacentral:lncRNA from 1 species
AUGCAAGUGAAGGAAGAGGGAGAUUGUAGGAGAGGGAAAGGAGAACUGAGGAGGAGAAGGAAUCUGAAAAUGCAGGCCUUCCCUUUGCUAAUUACCAGGGUAGAAUGCAGUACAGCAUCAGAAGCUAUUUUGCUGCAAGAUGUGCCAAGCUGCACCUCAGCCACAAUCCUUCCCAUCAAGAGGGAAUCCCAGAUACAAGAGUCAGAGAAGCACAGAAGCAUUUAUGAAGAGGCCUUGCUCCUGCUAUAAAGACUCGUGCUAGAUUGUUCCUUAUGGCUUUGUGUUAUAGACACCUCCAUGUAAGGACCAAAUUCUGUGUUCAGCAACAUGAAUAUUAAUCCAGAGUAAUUCCACUGAAGUCAGUGGAGUACACUGGAUCUAUGCUGGAGUGAGUGAGGGCAUGCAUGAACAAAUGCCUACAUGAUAUAGCCUGAAUGUCUACACAACCCCCAAGGUUGUUCCUCAAUAGUACAUGCUCCCCAGCUUUUCUAGGCAUGAGACAACAGUUUCCAUAUUCCUUUUUCUGACCAGUUACUGCCUUCAGGACACCUCCAUUCCUCAUUGAAUGGUUCUCCCUUGAUAUCAUCACCUCAGGAGCACCUCUGCUGGUUUCUCACACGGCCAUAAAUAAUGCAAUCAGAGAGGAUUAUUGUAACACGUAACAACACUAUUUACAGAAUAUGAAACAAGAUAAAAAUGGGUGUAGAGAAAACAUAUUUGGCUGCAAAUCUGCUGAAGUGUAUUGCUCUGGGUUGGCUUUUGCUGCAUCUUUGUCAUAGACUCAGACUUUAAGGCCAGAAGGGACCAUCAUGAUCAUCUAAUUUGACCUCCUGCACAUUGCAGGCCACAGAACCUCACCCACUCACUCCUGAAAUAGACCUGUAACCUCUGGCUGAGUUACUGAGUUCCUCAAAUCAUGAUUUAAAGACUUCAAGUUAAAGACUGUGCCAAUGGGAGCUGCAGGGGUGGCACCUGCAGACGGGGCAGUGUGCAGAGCUGCCUGGCCGCACCUCCACGUAGGAGCUGGAGGGAGGACAUGCCGCUGCUUUCGGGAGCUGCUUGAGGUAAGUACCGCCCAGAGCCUGCACCCCUGAGUGCCUCCCGUGCCUCAACCCCCUGCCCCAGCCCCAGCCCUGAUCUGCCCUCCAAACCCCUUGAUCCCAGCCUGGAGCACCCUCCUGCACCC